UACGAAGGGGGCUAGCGUUGCUCGGAAUCACUGGGCGUAAAGGGUGCGUAGGCGGGUCUUUAAGUCAGGGGUGAAAUCCUGGAGCUCAACUCCAGAACUGCCUUUGAUACUGAAGAUCUUGAGUUCGGGAGAGGUGAGUGGAACUGCGAGUGUAGAGGUGAAAUUCGUAGAUAUUCGCAAGAACACCAGUGGCGAAGGCGGCUCACUGGCCCGAUACUGACGCUGAGGCACGAAAGCGUGGGAGCAACAGGGAUUAAGAUACCC
rnacentral:rRNA from 1 species